GACAACGUGCCAGAGUGGUUAAUGGGUAUGACUCGAACGAGUUUCAAUCUACUAGACAUCAUAUGGCUUCGGCCGCGCAGGUUCGAAUCCUGCCGUUGUCG